rnacentral:piRNA from 1 species
UGCGGCCUAAGUUUGUACGUCUGGUUG